GGGUACCCAGGGCCCCAAUGGGGCAAUUAAUGUCUUAACUAACUUUAAAUAAAAUGUUCAAGUGACUGAACUUUGUAUAUAAAUUAAUAGUGGAGGCUCACUGUCACCCAUUACAGAAGGCGCAGAAUGUUUUAUUCCACAGUGGCACAAGGAUCCGGAAGAAAGCGGAAUUGAGACCAUGUCCGACUCUGACGGCGGAAGUGUGAGCAGCGGAAGUGAGAGCAUUUCCGAGUAUGAGCUGUCCCUGGAUGGGAGAAUGCUUGGUGAGUGGAAACCUGAGUUGAAAUUAUUCUACCUGCAUAACCCUCUAUGUCAUGGUUCGCUCACCAGAUAGAAAGUAUAUCGUAUAACAACAAUAACAUAACUGUUAUGUAAUGAAUAAGUCUGAUAUAUUGAUGGUAUGAUCAACCCUGCCUAUCUAUUAGAAGCCUCCUACAACAUGGUGAAAAGGGAUCUAAACAUGUUGCUGCUUGUGUGGGCUUUACCAAUGACACCAUCAGUAGGCUACACCAAACCUUUUCAAUGUACAGAUUUUGGACAAAAGAUAGCUUAGCUUUAGCCUACGUGAUUUCAAUGCUCAAGUUCAUCAGUCUGAAAUAUCCAGCCUCUUAAUUUCAUAGAGCAUUAAACAGCCUGAGCUAGCGGGCACGACCGGUUGCUUUAACAAUGAAGGUACACCCUCAAAAGUGCCGGAAUAAUGAGUACAUAAAAUUCCACAAAUAAGCAAACUGCUUUAAGUAAUCCUUGAAAGACAUAGUCCUGUUCUCAAACAAAAACAAUGUGGUGAAUGGCCAUGCGUCCUUCUCCCCCUUCCCCUUCUGAUUCACACCCUCUCAAACUCAUUCAACUUGGUCUCUUAAACACCCAAUUCAUCGCCAAUAAAGCUUUACUGUUGACUCUAGCUCUUUGUCAAACACAGCUGACAAAGGACUAGAUUUCCUCUGUCAUACUGAAACUUUGCUUAUCCAUCCCUAAAUCAUGACCUUUGACAUUUUGCCGUAGGCUAUGCCUGACUGGUGGGUUUUUAGAAUUAUUAACAAACAAUGACAGUUGUAGCCCAGCCUACCACAGUUGGUGUACGACUGUUGAAUUAAGUACUUUUGCUGUAUGGUCUAUACAGAUUGGUUUUAAACCUUUAAAUGCAUAGCAGUACACACCUAGCUACCUGUUCUUAAAACAUUAGGCCAACUAGUAGGCCUCCAAACAUUGUUGAUAUAGGCUACAUUAAGAGCACAGACAACGGAGAACGUUUGACCGAGCUGGUCCAAGACAGAACACCUCGCCGACCUUAUCUCACUUGACUUAGUAUAACUAUAUAAACAGAAACUACUUAUUCUUAUGGAAAAGUGGACUUAAUGUGGCAUAUUUUGAUUACACCAAGUCCAUCAUACAUCUUAUUGAUGAGAUCUUGUGGGGGACCAAGAUGGUAUGAAGG
rnacentral:lncRNA from 1 species